UACGUAGGGGGCUAGCGUUGUCCGGAAUCAUUGGGCGUAAAGCGCGUGUAGGCGGUCCGGUAAGUCCGCUGUGAAAGUCGGGGGCUCAACCCUCGGAUGCCGGUGGAUACUGUCGGGCUUGAGUACGGAAGAGGCGAGUGGAAUUCCUGGUGUAGCGGUGAAAUGCGCAGAUAUCAGGAGGAACACCGAUUGCGAAGGCAGCUCGCUGGGACGUUACUGACGCUGAGACGCGAAAGCGUAGGGAGCAAACAGG
rnacentral:rRNA from 1 species